rnacentral:rRNA from 1 species
UACGUAGGGUGCAAGCGUUGUCCGGAAUUAUUGGGCGUAAAGAGCUCGUAGGCGGUCUGUCGCGUCUGCUGUGAAAACUCAGGGCUUAACCCUGAGCUUGCAGUGGGUACGGGCAGACUAGAGUGCGGUAGGGGAGACUGGAAUUCCUGGUGUAGCGGUGAAAUGCGCAGAUAUCAGGAGGAACACCGGUGGCGAAGGCGGGUCUCUGGGAAGUAACUGACGCUGAGAAGCGAAAGCGUGGGUAGCGAACAGG